rnacentral:rRNA from 1 species
UAAUACGGAGGAUGCAAGCGUUAUCCGGAAUUAUUGGGCGUAAAGCGUCCGCAGGUGGUUUUGAAAGUUUGCUGUCAAAGCGCGAGGCUCAACUUCGUACCGGCGGUGAAAACUUCAAGACUAGAGCUAGGUAGGGGUCACGGGAAUUCCCAGUGUAGCGGUGAAAUGCGUAGAUAUUGGGAAGAACACCAGCGGCGAAAGCGCGUGACUGGGCCUGAGCUGACACUCAUGGACGAAAGCUAGGGGAGCGAAAGGGAUUAGAUACCCCUGUAGUCCUAGCCGUAAACGAUGACAACUAGGUGUUGCCCGUAUCGACCCGGGCAGUGCCGUAGCCAACGCGUUAAGUUGUCCGCCUGGGGAGUACGCACGCAAGUGUG